ncrna:unclassified sequences PhotoRC-II RNA
UAACACAUAUCUUGCUCCCGCUAACCAAGACCUAUGGGAGGAUAAAUUACGUCUUUAUAUCCGUAAGUGAGGGAUUUACGGAAAUAUGUUUCGCA